rnacentral:tRNA from 4 species
UGGGGAUUAGUAUAGUGGUAGUACGCCUGACUCUGGCUCAGGUGGCAGAGGUUCGAGUCCUCUAUCCCCAGCCA